UAAGGAUGGCUCUGAUUGCUCUCACGCCCCCACAAUUUUUUGGAAACUCCGGGUGAGCCGACCAGCCGAUAAUUCAUGGAUUCGUAUGUUUGAUAACUGGGCUGUCGGAAGAAGACAUUCCAGAAAAGAGAAAGCGUGCGUUGCUUAUCCCUUGCCUGGGUACGGAGGGACAGCGGAUUUAUUUGUUUUGUGUCUGAUGAACAAUAUGAUACUGCGCUGACUGCUUUGCGAGCAUUUUUUAUACAGAAAGUUAACGUGGUUGCCAAGAGAAACAAAUUUCGACAGCGUGCUCAGUGAUACGGUGAACCUAUUGUGCAAUAUGUGGCUGCUCUGCGUGGGCUUCUUGUUAACUGUAAAUUCGGCUUGCUCGCUGACGACUUGGGAAACGUCUGCUUUUGGAAACGGAUCUCACUCUGCAAAAGGCGAUUACGAUCGCGGGACAAACUGAGUCUGCAGUAGCCGAAGCUAAUGCUAUGGAGCGAACCGAAACGUCUGUUAAAGUGGUGCAUACUGGCUGACGUGAUGGUCCAAAACAGCGGUGGCGACAGACAUGUGCUACACGACGUCAUUUGAAGCGAGACUGGUCUGGCCAAGGGAAGAGCACGAUAGAAAGUGGUCUGCGAGGGCGUGGGAUCAAAAAGAUGCAGUCGUCAAUGCACACAACACAACCAGUACAAAAGUAAUGGAGACCAUGUCCAAAUAUUUAAAAAUAUGCACCAGAGAGGAUGGGUGGUGGUGGCCAUAAGAAGACUCUUCCUUGAAGACACCUUUUUUCCUUCUUUUUUAAUGACUGUUGCUAGUAAAAUGUUAAGUUCUACUAAAGACUUCUUGUUCUACAAACUUUCCUUACUUUUACUUGGAUUCUUUUUCACUUAAUUGUUGAGAUUUUAGAAUGAUACGAAAUGAGUACAUAUGUUGGUCACGAAAUGAGUACAUAUGUUUGUUAUUAUUUAUAUAUAGGCUAUUGUGUAUAUUUGCAGUGUUUAUGAAAUUAGAAUUAAA